UCUGUAAGCCGAUGAAGGUGUAUUGAGAAGUAUGCUGGAGGUAUCAGAAGUGCGAAUGCUGACGUGAGUAACGACAAAACGGGUGAAAAACCCGUUCGCCGAAAGACCAAGGGUUCCAGUCCAACGUUAAUCGGGGCUGGGUGAGUCGACCCCUAAGGCGAGGCCGAAAGGCGUAGUCGAUGGGAAAAUGGUUAAUAUUCCAUUACUUCUGUGUAAUGCGAUGAGAGGACGGAGAAGGCUAAAUCAGCCUGGCGUUGGUUGUCCAGGUGAAAGGAUGUAGGCAUGUAUCUUAGGCAAAUCCGGGGUACUCUAUGCUGAGAUCUGAUAGCAAGCUGUACUUGUACAGCGAAGUGGUUGAUGCCAUGCUUCCAGGAAAAGUCUCUAAGCUUCAGUUACACAGGAAUCGUACCCGAAACCGACACAGGUGGUCAGGUCGAGUAGACCAAGGCGCUUGAGAGAACUCUGCUGAAGGAACUAGGCAAAAUGGUACCGUAACUUCGGGAGAAGGUACGCUGUUGUUGGUGAUGGAACUCGCUUCCUGAGCUGACGACAGCCGCAGAAACCAGGCCGCUGCAACUGUUUAUUAAAAACAUAGCACUCUGCAAACACGAAAGUGGACGUAUAGGGUGUGAUGCCUGCCCGGUGCUGGAAGGUUAAUUGAUGGGGUUAGCGUAAGCGAAGCUCUUGAUCGAAGCCCCAGUAAACGGCGGCCGUAACUAUAACGGUCCUAAGGUAGCGAAAUUCCUUGUCGGGUAAGUUCCGACCUGCACGAAUGGCAUAAUGAUGGCGGCGCUGUCUCCAGCAGAGGCUCAGUGAAAUCGAAAUCGCUGUGAAGAUGCAGUGUACCCGCGGCUAGACGGAAAGACCCCGUGAACCUUUACUGCAGCUUGACACUGAACUUUGACCUUACUUGUGUAGGAUAGGUGGGAGGCUUUGAAGCUGGAACGCUAGUUCCAGUGGAGCCGUCCUUGAAAUACCACCCUGGUAAUGUUGAGGUUCUAACUCUGUCCCGUGAUCCGGGACGAGGACCGUGUCUGGUGGGUAGUUUGACUGGGGCGGUCUCCUCCUAAAGAGUAACGGAGGAGUACGAAGGUGCGCUCAGCGUGGUCGGAAAUCACGCGUAGAGUAUAAAGGCAAAAGCGCGCUUAACUGCGAGACCCACAAGUCGAGCAGGUACGAAAGUAGGUCUUAGUGAUCCGGUGGUUCUGUAUGGAAGGGCCAUCGCUCAACGGAUAAAAGGUACUCUGGGGAUAACAGGCUGAUACCGCCCAAGAGUUCAUAUCGACGGCGGUGUUUGGCACCUCGAUGUCGGCUCAUCUCAUCCUGGGGCUGAAGCAGGUCCCAAGGGUAUGGCUGUUCGCCAUUUAAAGAGGUACGCGAGCUGGGUUUAGAACGUCGUGAGACAGUUCGGUCCCUAUCUACCGUGGGCGCUGGAAAUUUGAGAGGAUCUGCUCCUAGUACGAGAGGACCAGAGUGGACGAACCUCUGGUGUACCGGUUGUGACGCCAGUCGCAUCGCCGGGUAGCUAUGUUCGGAAGGGAUAACCGCUGAAAGCAUCUAAGCGGGAAGCCUACCUCAAGAUAAGAUUUCCCUAGGACUUUAUGUCCUCUAAAGAGCCGUUCGAGACUAGGACGUUGAUAGGUUGGAUGUGGAAGCAUAGUGAUAUGUGAAGCUGACCAAUACUAAUUGCUCGUGAGGCUUGACUA
rnacentral:rRNA from 1 species